AAAUCCUGUUUUGCCUGUGAGUUAGAUCCAGUACCAAGUUCACAUCCUGUUUUUUCUUUCAGUUUCUCAUGAUGACAAAUUCUGGUCUUCAGCUGCCUUCCCUGCAGAACUCCCAAUAUUUUAUCCUGAAGUGCUGCUUUUGCAGAAACUUUCUGGCCUGGUUUGUAUUUUCCUGUCAGGAUUCUUGCAUCUUCAAGGCAGAUAAACCUCGUGCCAUUUGUUCUAAAUGCAGGAGUUUGGUACCUCAGUGAAGCUUUGGUCUCUUUUUUAUUCUCUUCCAUCUGGUAAGAAAUCCUUUUGUUUUAUUUUUCUCCUUCUGUCCUCUUCUUUUAAGUAACAUUUUUAAUGUUAUUUUUCACUAUAAAACCUUAAGUGGAGAUAUUUUCUUCAGAAAAUGUAGCUCAGUUGUGUUCCUUUGUGUUCCUUUCUGUUUACCCAAGAAAUGCAGUAAUAGGAGUUGAAAUUAUUGGAGAUGAAGUUGGAGGCAAGAAAAGUAGAGCUCUGAGC
rnacentral:lncRNA from 1 species